UGGGGUCUUACAGGUUACAUAGGGGUUCAGCUACCUCAGUCUCUCUCUUACCUCUGCUGGAAUCAUACUCCGCCACGCCGGAGGUGGAUGAGUUCGCCCAAACCAUGAGAUUAUACCACCAAAUGACUCUUUUCAAAGUCCUCUCACUAAAUCUUGUAUCAAAACCACCUAAUUCCUAACCAAAGUGGCAAAUAGAACCAAAGUAUAUAUGAACCUUAAAGACUGAAAUCAUAAGUUGAACGUAGAUAAUGAGUGAGACGGAGACCAAACCUUAUGGGUUUGCUUCCAUGGAAGACACACUAUAUCGUGGUAGCUGCAACUUAGAGAAGAAAAGUGGAAAGGCUUGUCUGUCGGAGUAACUCUGGUAGCUCUUCACGAAGCGAUGCUAAGAACGAUGAUCCACGAGCCUUCUAUUUCCCCAGGCUGUUAUAAAAAGGGAAAAGGAUGAGCUUGGUUGUUGUUUUCUUGAAAUGGCACUGUUAUUAUAUUGUGGAAUGGAUGAAGGUUUCGCAAUUCAUAGCAUGUGGAAAAGAUUGGACUACUUCAAGAAGUCAAAGAUGGGAUGAAGAAAAAUAUGGGAUAUGGUUUAGGAUUAGAAAGUUGAUUUUGGUCAAUUGUUUGACCAAAAAGUCAACAGUUGACCAAAGUCAGUUAUAGCUCAAAAAGUGUAAUUUUGUGUAAAGUUUUGUAAUAUGUCUCUUUUGUGAUGAAAUUUGAUGCUUUGAUGAUGAAAAAUGGCUUCAAACGAAAAGAUAUGAAUAUGUAUAACUUGUUUUUCAAGAAACCUGGCAUAUUUGAAUUAGCCUUAAA